rnacentral:rRNA from 1 species
ACGGCUCAGUAACACGUGGCUAACCUGCUCUUGGGACGGGGACAACCCCGGGAAACUGGGGUUAAUCCCAGAUAGGUGAGAACUCCUGGAAUGGAUUUUCAUCGAAAAGGUGUUGAAGCAUGCUUUCAACGGCGUCCGAGGAUGGGACCGCGGCCGACCAGGUUGUUGGUGAGGUAACGGCUCACCAAGCCUUUAACCGGUACGGGCCGUGAGAGCGGGAGCCCGGAGAUGGAAUCUGAGACAAAAUUCCAGGCCCUACGGGGCGCAGCAGUCGCGAAAACUCCGCAAUACGCGAAAGCGUGACGGGGCCAACCCGAGUGCCGUCCGCUGAGGAUGGCUUUUCCCCAGUGUAAUGAGCUGGAGGCAAUAAAAGGAGGGCAAGGAUGGUGUCAGCCGCCGCGGUAAAACCAACUCCUUGAGUGGUGAGGAUUAUUAUUGGGCUUAAAGCGUUCGUAGCUGGCCUGACUAGUCCCGCGUUAAAUCCAACGACCUAAUCGUUGGGCUGCGGGGGACACGGUCAGGCUUGGGGGCGGGAGAGGUUAGCGGUAUUCCCGGGGUAGGGGUAAAAUCUUAUAAUCCCGGGAGGACCACCAGUGGCGAAGGCUGCUAACCAGAACGCGCCCGACGGUGAGGGACGAAAGCUGGGGGAGCGAACCGGAUUAGAUACCCGGGUAGUCCCAGCCGUAAACGAUGCAGGCUAGCUGUUGGGAUGGCCACGAGCCAUUUCAGUGGCGCAGGGAAGCCGUUAAGCCUGCCGCCUGGGAAGUAAGAUCGCAAGAUUGAAACUUAAAGGAAUUGGCGGGGGAG